UAACAACCAAGCACAGUGCCUAUCAUAUGAAUCAGAAGACAAAAGGAAAUUGCAGUUAAAUGGAAGGAUGUACUAUCUGCCAGAAGCUUUGCUAAAUGAUUUAAAAAAUGCCAUUUGAUCCUCACAAUAACCCUGUGAGGUACUUUACAUUCUCUGUGGGGUUAUAAGUCCUGCUCCCAGACCUUUGCACCCAUCAUACAUAAAGCUACUUGGAGAGAAAAACAGUCAACACAACUGUAUAGUACACAGAGGAAAAGAUAUUUGUGGCAAGAGAUCCUCUUUCUGGGGACAUUCCAGUUACUACAGGCUUACUCUCUGAGGAAGCACAUCUAACCUGAGAACACUCAGUAGACAAGACAUUUGGGGCUGAAGACACACUCUCUGAGAAUAUUCUACUUCCUACAGGCUUACUCUUUGUGGAAACACAUCUACUCUCAGGACACUCAGAGGAAAAGAUACUUGUGGCAGGAGAUACUCUCUCUGGGAAAAUUCCAGUUACUACAGGCUUGCUCUCUGUGGAAGCACAUCUAGCCUCAGAACACUCAGUGGAUGAGAUACUUAUAGGUGGAGACACAUGCUCUGAGAACACUCAGAGGAAAAGAUAGUUGUGGCAGGAGACACUUUCUCUGGGAACAUUCCAGUUACUACAGACUUACUCUCUGGGGAAGCACAUCUAGCAUCAGAACACUCAGCAGACAAGACAUUUGGGGCUGAAGACACACUCUCUGAGAACAUUUUACUUACUACAGGCUUACUCUUUGUGGAAACACAUCUACUCUCAGGACACUCAGAGGAAAAGAUACCUGUGGCAGGAGACACGCUCUCUGGGAAAAUUCCAAUUACUACAGGCUUGCUCUCAGUGGAAGCACAUCUAGCCUCAGAACACUCAGCAGACAAGACAUCUAGGACUGAAGAUACACGCUCUGAUAACAUUCUGCUUACUACAGGCUUGCUCCCCAAUGAAAAGACCAGAGUUGAAGAGAAAAUAUGAUGUUCAAAUAUAAGACUCAAAAGAAGCAGCAAAAGUUUUUCCCCAGUACGGGCCCUGGUGCAAAGUGGAGUAAUGUUGUCAUCCAAGGAAUGACUGGAGAGCUCCCCUGAGGGUAAAGGGCCUCACUGGCUCCACAGACUUCUUAAAGAAAAGAUCCACCCCCAGAUACUCUCUGCCUCAGUCUGUCCAGGGUGUGUCCCCCUUUUCAUCUCCAGUACCACAACAAUUACUUUAAGCUGUUCUCCUCAACUAGAAUAUCAUCAUGUUGUCAUCCUAAGUCUUGGAUCACUGCAACCAUCCACUACCUCCACCCCUAUAUUCCUGUUGAGCAAAGCUGGAGAAAUGGAAAAUAUGGAUAUUCAGUGAAACAGAGGACCUACAAGCAUUCCUGAUGAAAAGACCAGAGCUGA